CCCAGCUGAAUCGGCAUGAGCUGAGCCGGGCCGAGCUGAGCUGGGGUGAGCUGAGCCGGGAUGAGCUGAGCCGGGGUGAGCUGAGCCGGGGUGAGCUGAGCCGGGAUGAGCUGAGCCGGGGUGAGCUGAGCCGGGGUGAGCUGAGCCGGGCCCAGCUGAGCCGGGAUGAGCUGAGCCGGGCCGAGCUGAGCUGGGCUGAGCUGAGCCGGGAUGAGCUGAGCUGGGGUGAGCUGAGCUGGGGUGAGCUGAGCCGGGCCGAGCUGAGCCGGGCCGAGCUGGGCCGGGCCGAGCUGGGCCGGGCCGAGCUGGGCCGGGAUGAGCUGAGCCGGGAUGAGCUGAGCCGGGAUGAGCUGAGGUGAGGUGAGCAGAACUGAGCUGAACUAACUCUGCAGGCAGCCGGCUGCGCUCCCGGCCCGGCGGUGCCCCUCAGGUGAAAGUCCCAGCACUGGGCUGGGGGACGGCUUGGGAUGAGGAAUGGAGAUGGGGCUGAUUCAGGGGCAUGACCCAGCCAGAUAAACCUCAGCAGAGCAGCAAAGGCAGCCCAGUGUAGGGGCAGAGCUGAACAAUGCUGUGAUGUGAGGCUUCCAGACAGGGACCCCUGGGUUUCCAGACGCUACUCCUGGGCAGUGGCAGGGCUGGGCUGGGCUGGGCAAUGCUGACAGAGGGAAAAAAACACCCACCUCUUGCAGGGUGUGUGGGGCAAGGAGGGCAAUGGGAGAUGCCCUCCUUCCUGCAAGGACAAGCCCUUCUCUGGCCUGCAAGGACACUCUGUCCUUCUCUCACCCAUCCCCUGUGGCUACAGAACAUUGUCUUAAGCUAAAUCUUCAGCAAAUCUUUCCUAAGCAGAAUUAGAAGCUGCUUCGUUAAACCCCAAGCUGCUCUGACAGGGCUGAAGCUCAGCUUAUGUCAAUGACAGGGUACCCAAAUCUCCCGAGUUAUGCCUUUUUCCAAGGAACUGUUCAGCCACAAAGCACACUUCCUGGUGAGCCGCCUUGGAUUCUGUCACACUGGCUCAAAUAAAAGACUGAAAUGAUUCUCACAGAUGCAAGGCCACAGAUGAAACUCCACAGCAGGGAAAAUUCAGGAACUGGGUCUUACACAGAACAUAUAAACAAGGUCAAAGCCAUUGUUUAAACAAAUAAAUGGCACUUGGGUUUAUCAUCAGUGUGCUUUUCAUUGAUGCUCUUGGCAUUUACCAGAAGUAGAAAGGGAGCCCUUGUGUCAUACAUGAGGCUGUUUGAAAUUAAAGCAAAGGCUCCAUGAACCUGCAGUGGGAUUUGCCAACUCAACCAAUGCAACAGUUCUGGGUGCCUUUCCUCACUACGCCUGAGAACGCUUCUGUGAUUUGGUCUAGCAGGAUUUGGCACCACCCAGAAUGGUAUUUCAUAUUCCUGUGAAGAGGCAGAGAAAGAAAACAAGUGAGAUGAUACUCCUCAGGCACCCAAAGGUCUCACGGGCCUAGGGAACAUUUCAUCACCCAAGGGCUGCAGCUGUGUCAGGGCAGGUCAGGCUGGAGAGCAGGAAAGGGUUCUUGCCCAGGCUCCCCAGGGAAUGGGCACAGCCCCAAGGCUGCCAGAGCUGAAGGACAGCUUGGACAAUGCUCACAACGACAGGGUGGGAUUGUUGGGGUGUCUGUGCAGGGCCAGGAGCUGCACUGGAUGAUCCUGGUGGGUUCCUUCCAACUCAGGGUACUCCAUGAUUCUGUAAUUCUGUGAUAAAAGCUCUCUAGGAAGUAACACUUCCAUCCAGAAAGUCCAAGUCAACCAACUCCUGGGGCAGAUGUCCUGCCUGGAAAUAAGAUUUUCCAUCAAUAUAAUAAACAUAUAAGUAGAGGAAAAGAUAAAACAAUGUAAAAAGAGUAGUUUUGCUGAUGCUUUUCCUGUCCAGAGUGUUUUCCCUGUCUCCCCCCUCCAGUAGCACAUACACCUCUGCUGCCUCCUUUCCAAAGCUGACUGUCUCUGUAUCGAAAGCGGAUUAUUUGGUGCAUUGAGUAUUCAACAUGUUCUCUUACAGUAUUGUUGUGUUCAAUGAGCUUUGCUCAUCUGAAUGGACACUCACUGCAUAGUCCACUGGUUUAAUUUGCUGCUUUGGAAACCUAAGCAGGUUACAGCAUAUUUGGCUAUGUGUCUGUUCUUAUGUGUCAAAGAUAAGGUUUCUGGAUGCCAUUUUUAAAAACAAAAUUAUUUCACUUCAGUAGCUUUCUCUUUUCAGUGGUCUCUUCUUUUUAGUCUUGAGUAUUUCAACUCACCUUCUCCCUACAAUGAACAAAGCCUCGAUCUUCACCCCAAAUCAGCAAAGCUCCAUUGAACAAGGAUUUCUAUUUCUUCUUCCAGUAUCUUAAAAGCAAUGUUUGGAGUUCUUCAAGCUAUAAGAUUGUUCCCACGAUGAAAAUAGAAACCAGUCUAUCAGAAGAAGAACAGAAAUUCACAACACAUAGGGUGAAAAGAGAGAGUCUCCAAUUUGCAUGCAAAAAAUUGUGGUAGUGAUGAGGAUGAGGAAACAGUAAUUCAGACUCUUUAUUAGAAGUUUAGGAAGAAAUCACACGGAACUGAAAGACCUAGAAAGCAGAGAAAUGUCCAUGCUGAUCACUUAACAGCUGCCACAAUGAUGGACAAAGAGGUUUCCUCAGUGUGUUCCAGGUGUGCUGUGGGUGUGGGUUAACCCCAGUGUUCAGCUCAACACAGCAACACAGCACAGUCAUCCCCUCACUGCCCUCCAGCCCAUACCCCAGGGGCCUGGGGGAAGAGGAAAGGACAAAUAAAAGCAAGAAAACUUGGUGAUCAAGAGAAAAAAAAUUCAAAAUUGAAGCAGUAGAAGAUUACUAAAAGAAAACAAAAGAAUUGAGACAAAGACAACCACUCACCAUGUCCCACAGGUAGACCAAUAACCCAGCUGGAUCUCAAACAAAAGAUGACUAAUCUAACUAAAAUCCUCUUUUCCCCCUUUUUGUUGCUGAACAAGAUGUUCAUUAUCGAAAUCACAAGCGUGUUAACAACAAAUGUUUUGGUCACAGACCUACGACACGAUCCUAUGAGCUGCUAUAGGGGAAUUUCACUCUACCCCAAACAGGCCAGCACAAAGUGCCAUUAUUAUCUCUUGCAAAAGGAGCUGUAUGUGCCAGCUGCACACAGUGAAUUCUUCAUCUCUGUUUGUGAUUCUACAGCAAAGCUCACUCCAGAGUCCCAUGAGCUGGUGAAGAUAUUCAGACUCCACUCUGUGUUCUUCUCAUGCUACAGGCAAACUUUUCUUUCCCACAUAUCCUGUUGUGUUGUCCUCCUUGAGGAUGCACAAUGUAUUCUUGUCAAGGUUUCGCAGACUUCAUUGUUUAUUACAGGCUAAAAAUGGAUUAAACUUGCUUUGUGAGCAUUGUAUU